UCCGUUUGUAUUUCAAAAUUCGAUCGGCGUGGGAGAUAUUACGAUAACAUUUGCAGUACUAUAUAAAGGCAAACUAGAUCCGUAUCGAUUAUAGCGAUUCAAGUUGUUGCACAGUUCACUCGGUUUGAAAGAUCAUCACAUUUGUGAAAAUGAAACUGCUUAUUUCUCUUUUGCUCAUCGUGGCAAUCGCUACUCUUCAAGUAUAUGGAUAUACAUGUGACCCCAAGGAAUGCAACGCAGGAUGUGUUUCUCGUGGCAACCAGUAUGGAUACUGCAACACCCCUAAGCAAUGCAUGUGCGUCGCAAAGGGUUAAAUAUUCCAUAAAUUUCAAUCUUUAGAUACACGCAAGUUAAUAAAUCAAUGUUCAACUGCAAAAAUGAAAUAAUAGUGUAUCUGUGAAUAAAAAAUCUGCUAUAAAUAUCAAA